AGCGUGGGCUGUGCCACUUGGAAGUGUGGCCUAACAGGCUAAAUGGGAAGAGAAAGGGGGCUUUUCCCCCAAACUCACCUUUGAACUAUUAUUUCACAUUAUUCCAUGCUUGUAGGAGACAAUUCUGCCUACUCCUGUUCUCAUUUCCUUAAUAGUAAGUUUUCAGUAAGCCUUACGUUACAAAAAGAAUAAUUGCCUUUCUGUUCUAAAGACAUUGUAAGUUCACAAAACAUAUCUUAGGAAAAUAAAUGGCUGUCUUUCAUUGUUUAUUAGCUGAGUGAUCACUGUAUUGAAUAAAUACAGCAAUGAUUUCUUCUGUGACACACUAUGCACCAAAGACAGAAAAGACUGAAUAUCUGACCAUGAACAGAAAUACUGUCAUAUUUAUAUCCUACCAACUUGCAAGGCCAUUUGAGAAGCUCCAUAUGGACUCCAGUCUCUCAGUAGCCCACAGGAUUGAUGUUUGUUAGUUGACUUAAAUUACAAAUUGGGGCCUUGAACUAAUGGCAGGUGUUUGAAGUCCAGUUGCACAAUCACAGUGGGUGCCUGGCAUCUGAGAAUUCCUAAAACCAUGCAGAAAG